GCAUGCAGUUGUUUCAUGUUGUCUCGCUUCUCUAGUUUGAACGCUCUCUCUCUGUCUUUCAUGAUUUCUGGUACGAUACGAAGUUUAACUCCGUUUUACAAGUUUAUCGUUUAACACAAGACAGGUCGCCGUUAUCGCUCUUUUCAGCCGAAAGUGGUUUAUCAACGACUAAAACACUCAAGCAGAGGUAUCCGUCUCUACACCAUUAUGAUUUUCACCAUGGCUAACAACACUGCACCCACUGCAACAGACGUUGCACCAACAACAGCAGCUCCACAGCAAACAGACUCAACUGUCAUAGGAGUGGUCAUUGCACUUGUGCUGGUGACACUUGCCAUCUGUGGGUUCUUGUUGUACCGAUACCUGUGCCACAACAAGGGAGUUUACCGAACUGCAGGUGAGCCUGCUCCAGGAGUGGACCCAGAUCAGGUCUACAAUGACACCGUCACUGAAAACAAGAAGGAAUACUUCAUUUGAACUGCUUAACAUGGAAGGAUUCCAUCAAAGAUCAGCCAAAUCAUUCAUGGACUGCUGCAGACAUCUUAAUAGUCUAUGUAGAGAGACUUAUAUGCAUGGCAUAUGGGACAGUGCAUCAGCACAGCCACUAGUCUGCGCUGUAUGGAAGACAUUUUUAGUUAAAGGGAUACAGUUUGAGUUUUAUAUGGUGCUGUUACAUUAUGAUAGGAUGAGCCAGAAGCCAAAGGAGUUGUUUACUCAUGACAUCAUUAAGCGUAAAAUGGUUGUGGUUCCUCCUUUAAUUCUGGUUUGAUAAAAUUACUGACAGUUACUGUGACAAUCAUCAUGAUGGUACUCUUGUCAAAUUGUUAUGCCUACAGGUAUAUGUAGUCUAUAGUCCAUUAAAAUAAGCGAUAUAUUUGCUGCUUUAGCAUAAAUGCCAGGAAUGUUAAAGGCAAAUGUGAGAUUGUAUACUAUCAAAGGCAGCAUAAUGUUUAAAUGAGUUUUCAAGACAUUAUUUAUUAUUACCUUGAAGGAUUUCAGCUAAGUGGCACUGAACCAAAUAAAAGCCAAACAUUGCAGGCACUCUACCAAUUUGGCUUUAUAUUAGAUUCUUAUUCGAUAUUUGGAGUCAUAUGGCUUGAACUAAUUUGAGACUCUUAAAGGUGUUAUCCUCUUUUGCCUUGGACCAGCCAGUCUUUAUAUUGUUUUGGGUUUGUAAUCGAUAGCAGCAUUUUCUUUUUUGUGAAUCGUUGGAGAGCACUGUUACAGUGCCGUGCAAAACAUUUGAAUACAUUUUACAGUGCUUUUAAAAUUGUAAUUGGAAAUUGACACUUUUUAAAAUACAAUUUAGAAAAGUUUUGUUACAAACGAAUGCAAUAAUGUGCCAAAUGUCAAUAUUCGUCAUCAUUGUAAAUCAGAUACGCUUGGAUCAAAUAUGGAUAUACUGGACAUGUUUUUUUACACAGGGUUACGGAUCUUGGCUGUUACCAAAAUGAAUGAUUCCUGUGCUGUUUUUUGUUGUUGUUUUUUGGUCUGCAUUUCAAACCGGCAACUGUGGUUAUUGGUUAUUAUCUAUUUUAAUGGAAUAUUCCAGGUUCAAUACAAGUUAUGCUCAAUGGCCAGCAUUUGUAGAUUACCACAAAAAUCUAUUUAGACUUGUAACUCCUUUAAAAAAAAAGAAAAGGCAAAAAUCAACAGAAGUGAAUGGGGCCAGUUUUUGGAGGGUUUAAACAGAAAUGUGAAGCUUCUAAUUAAUUUUAUAAAAUGACUUAAUUAAGAAAGGUAUUAAUUAGUCUGUUAAAACGCAUGUAUUAUUUGAGCUGUAAAGUUGUUUAAAUCAUAAUUUUUGUUAUUAGGGUUUGCUGACUACAUUGUCAUGGCAACUAAGUUGUACAAUUGUCUUUUACACAGAAAAGGUUAGUAAGGGAUUUUUUCAAGUCAAGUUUACACGCAUUUCCUUUCUCUCUUGAAUAUUUUAACCUUCAGAAAUUGGCCCCCCAUUCACUUCCAUUAUAAGUGCCUCAUUGUAACCUUGAUUUUUGAGUAGGAACAAGUCUUUUAUAUAAAAAAAAAAAAAAAAGGACACAUUGAGGUUGCAGUGAGUCAUUUACAAUGGAAGUUAAUGGGGCACAUUUUUGGAGGGUUUAAAGGCAGAAAAGUGAAGCUUAUAAUUUAAUCAAAGCACUUACAUUAAUUCGUGUGUGUUAUUUGAGCAGUGAAGUUUAAAUCGUAAUUUUUACUGUCAUUAUAGGGUUUAUGGGAUUACAUCAUCAUGGCAACGAAGUUGUAAAAUUGGUUAUUUUAUCACCGUAUAAUCAUGUAAACACACAUAUCGUUCACAUCUUGUGGACAGUAAGUAUCUUUACCUUUACAGAUUGGCCCCAAUCAUGUUCAUUGUAGGUGAUUCACUGUAACCCAGAUUUGUGCUUUUUUUAUUUCUUUUGGUUGAGUCGGAAAUCAACAUUAUGCCACAGAUACUGUUGAUUGCGCUUAACUUGUAUUGAACCCAGAAUAUUCCUUUAAAUACAACUGACUAGAUAUGCACAGUUUGCUAGUUCUGACAAAUCCAGUCCAAAAUUAUUUGUAUGUUUACAAGAAAUAUAUUAGGAUUUCUGUACUCCUUUGAGGAUUUCUGAUUUGCUGUAUGCUUUGAAGCUUUCAAAGCUCUAGUCUUUAAAAUUCUACAGCGUCUGAUUGGAACACAGAUAUGAUCAGUCUCAAAAUAAAACAGGUUCAGUUGUUGCUUCAGAUUAAAAUGCAGUUAUGAAUGGAGACUAAUUUCACAUAUUGGUCAAAUACUAGCAAUAAUGUGGCGAUAAACCUCAAC